AGGUUUUAUAUUCUAUUAUUAUAUAAGAAUUUAAGUUGCAAACUUAACAAAAUAAAUUUAUUUAUUAAGACUUA
rnacentral:tRNA from 1 species